ensembl:lncRNA
GGGCCAGAGCAAGGGGGAGGUUUUCAAAUCUCACCAGGUCUAACAAGCAGGGGUUGAGAAUCACUGUUCCAAGCCUUUUGGGAGCUCUUCCUAUAAAAAUGCCUUCAAAGUCUAUGACACUUCCCAUGAAUCCUGUCAACAAGAUUCUUAUUUUAAAGACAGACUGGAUUUUAAAAAAAGAAACAGCUUUAGGUUGUUUAGAACUGAAUCUGUGGAAUAGGAGUGAAAUACUGGUCCUUGUCCUCAAGAGGAGGAGAAACCUCAGAAAUACACCUGGGAUCCUCGUGUGAGCCCAGGUGGUUUCAAAGGUAAUCAUUCACUGAGCACAAGCCGGAGCUCUGCUGAGGCCAAAGCUCUCAAGCAGAUCAGAGCUGGUUCUCCAGGCGAAUGGCAGCCAGGACCCAGGUCCUGAAUUCUCCUGCCACUGGGACUGCCUCACAUUGGCAUCUAUUUGAGGGGCUUUGCUAAAUGCCCUGGCCCGCUUCUGCCACAUGGAGUUGUGCCCUCAAAAUAUUCCUGGUUUCCGAGGCAAAGGUGCUCUCUAUUGUUCCUGUUUUGUGUCCAGCAUCUCCAGGCUGCACUGAAGCUCAAGCUGUGGCCUGGGGUUGAGGGUACCAGAUCCCAGGAAGGCUGAGAGUCCCUUAACAUCCCCAGGAAUGGGACAGAGUAACAUCAUAUACCUCCUGAUAUGCUACUCUGAGAUGAACCCAGCAUCACCUUUGGGGUACCCCAGCCAAGACUGUACAGCAUAAAUCAUCAUAAGGAAACAUCAGACAAACCUGAAAUGAGGAUGGCUGCUCCUGGUAACCAAGGUGCGAUCGGGAGGCUGCUUGGCAAUUGCUGAACUCGUUGCCUAGGAUCCACAAUUGAAAAGAAAAGCAUCUGUUCCCAAAGGAGACUGAAACAUAAACAGAAAAACCCAGCACCAUGUGCAGGCUGCAGGAACGGAAUGAGUGAUGGUGUGAAGGGAAGGCUUAGUCUUGAGUGAAUGAUGGAGGGCUUCUCUGAGGAGGCUAUAUACUUCAUGGGAGAGGAGUCAGCUGGCCAAGCAGAAGGGAAAGUGGGGGAGAAAAGCACAUUUUCUAUAAUGAGGGAGCUAUUUUAGAUACUGGGGCUUCCCUGGUGGCCCAGUGGGGAAGAAUCUGCCUGCCGAUGCAAGAGACUCAGGGAAGAUCCCUGUGUGGGGCAGGGGGAGAGGGGGCAAUCCCCUGGAGAAGAAAAUGGCAACCCACUCCAGUAUUCUUGCCUGGGAAAUUCCACGGACAGAAGAGCCUGGAGGGCUACAGUCCAUGGGGUCGCAAAGAGUUGGACCUGACUUAGUGACUCAACAACAAUAUUUUAGAUGUUGCUGGAAUAGUUUUUUUUUUUUUUUUUAAGCUUUAACAAAAGAGAAGGGAUGAGUGACUGUGAUGGCAGUGGGUUUCCAGUUUUAUCUUGCCACACAUGGGGAGUCACUAAAGAAUCUGGGGCAGGGAGAUAAUAGAAAGGGGUAAAUUAAAAGAACUGAGAGAAUGACAGCCAGUGAUGGCUAGCUGGCUGAAGCCCACACCCAGCCUCAUCAUUGAUUUAAUCAUUCAACAAAUAGUUAUGAAGGACCUGCCUGCCAUGCACCAGGCUGAAUUCCAGGAGCUGGAAAUCAGGCAUUGAACAGGACUAGCAAGGUCUCCGUUCUCCUGGAGGAGACUGACAAUAGAUAAACUAGUAAACAAGCAAGGAAGUAUCAGAUAAGUGCCUCUUGGAAAAUUAAACAAGCUGUUAAAAGUGUCCCUGAGCUUCUGCUCCUCACCCUCUUCCCCUCCUUCCAAAUACCCGCCAAGCCUCCUCCUGAGUUGUCUAAGGAGAUUUUGCUCCUAGGAAAAUCUCUAAGACUUCUAAAACUCGCCCGCUUCUGUGAGCAAGAGCCGUCCUCUUCUCCUAUUCCUAACCCCUCCCCCGCGUUCCCCCACCCCUCCGCGGGGAUUCCGGGAGGCUUCGUGUUCUGGGCACCGGUGAUGGAGGCUGGCUCAGCACCACCGGGCUCACCCUCCUGAGUACAGCAGGAAACCAGACGGACUUGUUUGCUACCCUUAUGGACCUUCAAGGGGAAGACAGACAUUAAAUAAAUACACGCCUGAAGAGUGUUUUAAAAGGAGGAAUAUGGGGGCAGACAAGGGCAUCGCACACCUGGAGGGAACCAGGAUGUGGAGCAGGGUCAGGAAAGGCCCCCUUGAGGAAGUGAUGUUUAAGCUGA